rnacentral:rRNA from 1 species
AACGAACGCUGGCGGCAUGCCUAACACAUGCAAGUCGAACGAGAGCUUCGGGUGCAGUGGCGCACGGGUGCGUAACGCGUGGGAAGCUGAACUUAGGGUCGGAAUAACUAUCAGACAGGGGUGCUAAUACCGGACAAUGUCUUCGGACGAAAGAUUUAUUGACUUGGGAGGAGCGCGAGUUGGAUACGCUAGUUGGUAGGUAAAAGCCUAGCACGGCGACGAUUCAUAGCUGGUGUGAGAGAAUGGUCAGCCACACUGAGACUGAGACACGGCCCAGACUCCUACGGGAGGCAGCAGUGGGGAAUAUUGGACAGCGGGCGAAGGCCUGAUCCAGUAAUGCCGCGUGAGCUAUGAAGUCCUGAGGGUUGUAAAGCUCUUGUACCCGGGAUGAUAAUGACAGUACCGGGAGAGUAAGCUCCGGCUAACUCCGUG